rnacentral:rRNA from 1 species
AACGAACGCUGGCGGCAGGCUUAACACAUGCAAGUCGAACGCCCUUUUCGGAGGGAGUGGCAGACGGGUGAGUAACGCGUGGGAAUCUACCCAUCACUAGGGAAUAACCCAGGGAAACUUGUGCUAAUACCCUAUACGACCGAGAGGUGAAAGAUUUAUCGGUGAUGGAUGAGCCGCGUUGGAUUAGCUAGUUGGUGGGGUAAAGGCCCACCAAGGCGACGAUCCAUAGCU